GACGAACGCUGGCGGCGUGCUUAACACAUGCAAGUCGAACGGAAAGGCCCUGCUUUUGUGGGGUGCUCGAGUGGCGAACGGGUGAGUAACACGUGAGUAACCUGCCCUUGACUUUGGGAUAACUUCAGGAAACUGGGGCUAAUACCGGAUAGGAGCUCCUGCUGCAUGGGGGGGGUUGGAAAGUUUCGGCGGAUGGGGAUGGACGCGCGGCUUAUGAGCUUGUUGGGGGGGGAGUGGCUUACCAAGGCUUUGACGGGUAGCCGGCCUGGGAGGGUGACCGGCCACACUGGGACUGAGAUACGGCCCAGACGCCUACGGGAGGCAGCAGUGGGGACUAUUGCACAAUGGGCGGACGCCUGAUGCGGCAACGCCGCGUGCGGGAUGCCGGCCUUCGGGUUGUAAACCGCUUUCGCCUGUGACGAAGCGUGAGUGACGGUAAUGGGUAAAGAAGCACCGGCUAACUACGUG
rnacentral:rRNA from 1 species